UCUAAGCACGAAACUUGCCCCGAGAUGAGUUCUCCCUGACUCCUUGAGAGUCCUGAAGGAACGUUGAAGACGACGACGUUGAUAGGCCGGGUGUGUAAGCGCAGCGAUGCGUUGAGCUAACCGGUACUAAUGAACCGUGAGGCUUAACCUUACAACGCCGAAG
rnacentral:rRNA from 1 species